ACCGAAAUCGCUCAGUUGGGAGAGCGUUUAGACUAUAGAUCGAAAGGUCCCUGGUUGGAUUCCAGGAUUCGGCU
rnacentral:tRNA from 1 species